GCCUUCGUGGUGUAAUGGUCAGCACACUCGGUGCGUAUUUAAGAGGUCCAGGGUUCGAGUCCCGGCGAGGGCA
rfam:Stegodyphus mimosarum contig21189, whole genome shotgun sequence.